AUACGGAGGGUGCGAGCGUUAAUCGGAAUUACUGGGCGUAAGGCGUACGUAGGCGGUUGGUUAAGUUAGAUGUGAAAGCCCCGGGCUUAACCUGGGAACUGCAUUUAAAACUGGCGAACUAGAGUUGAGUAGAGGGGAGUGGAAUUUCAGGUGUAGCGGUGAAAUGCGUAGAGAUCUGAAGGAACACCAGUGGCGAAGGCGACUCCCUGGACUCGAACUGACGCUGAGGUACGAAAGCGUGGGUAGCAAACGGGAUUAGAUACCCCUGUAGUCC
rnacentral:rRNA from 1 species